rnacentral:pre_miRNA from 1 species
AAUAAGCACAACCAUAAGUUUUUGCGUUCAAUUUUGAUCGUCUGUUUUAUUUUAUUUUUUUAUAAUUAUUUUUUUAUUGUUAUUUGAUUAUAAAAUAUAAAUAAUACUUUAUGCGUGACUUAUGUUUUCUAGUUUUUUUUUAAAAAAAAGAUGGAUUAGUAAAGUUGGACAUGUAAAUUUAUGGUUGUGCUUAUC